GUCAGUCGACUCCUACGGGGGAGCAGCAGUGGGGAAUAUUGACACAAUGGGGGAAACCCUGAUGCAGCCAUGCCGCGUGUAGUGAAGGAAGGACCUUCGGGUUGUAAAGCACUUUCAGUAGGGAGGAAGGUAGUGUAAUUAACACCUGCAUUAUUUGACGUUACCUACAGAAGAAGCACCGGCUAACUCCGUGCCAGCAGCCGCGGUAAUACGGAGGGUGCGAGCGUUAAUCGGAAUUACUGGGCGUAAAGCGCAUGCAGGCGGCCUGUUAAGUCAGAUGUGAAAGCCCGGGGCUUAACCUCGGAAUUGCAUUUGUAAACUAGGCAGGCUAGAGUCUUGUAGAGGGGGGUAGGAAUUUCAGGUGUAGCGGUGAAAUGCGUAGAGAUCUGAAGGAAUACCAGUGGCGAAGGCCGGCCCCCUGGACAAAGACUGACGCUCAGAUGCGAAAGCGUGGGGAGCAAACAGGAUUAGAUACCCUGGUAG
rnacentral:rRNA from 1 species